GAUCCGGUGGUUCUGAAUGGAAGGGCCAUCGCUCAACGGAUAAAAGGUACUCCGGGGAUAACAGGCUGAUACCGCCCAAGAGUUCAUAUCGACGGCGGUGUUUGGCACCUCGAUGUCGGCUCAUCACAUCCUGGGGCUGAAGUAGGUCCCAAGGGUAUGGCUGUUCGCCAUUUAAAAGUGGUACGCGAGCUGGGUUUAGAACGUCGUGAGACAGUUCGGUCCCCUAUCUGCCGUGGGCGUUGGAAGAUUGAGAGGGGUUGCUCCUAGUACGAGAGGACCGGAGUGAACGCACCACUGGUGUUCGGGUUGUCAUGCCAAUGGCAUUGCCCGGUAGCUAAGUGCGGAAGAGAUAACCGCUGAA
rnacentral:rRNA from 1 species